CCUACGGGCGGCUGCAGUGGGGAAUAUUGGACAAUGGGGGGAACCCUGAUCCAGCCAUGCCGCGUGUGUGAACCCGGCCCUCGGGUUGUAAAGCACUUUCAGUGAGGAAGAACGCCUGGUGGUUAAUACCCAUCAGGAAAGACAUCACUCACAGAAGAAGCACCGGCUAACUCCGUGCCAGCAGCCGCGGUAAUACGGAGGGUGCGAGCGUUAAUCGGAAUUACUGGGCGUAAAGCGCGCGUAGGUGGCUUGAUAAGCCGGUUGUGAAAGCCCCGGGCUCAACCUGGGAACGGCAUCCGGAACUGUCAAGCUAGAGUGCAGGAGAGGAAGGUAGAAUUCCCGGUGUAGCGGUGAAAUGCGUAGAGAUCGGGAGGAAUACCAGUGGCGAAGGCGGCCUUCUGGACUGACACUGACACUGAGGUGCGAAAGCGUGGGUAGCAAACAGGAUUAGAUACCCUGGUAGUC
rnacentral:rRNA from 1 species